UUGAAAAUAAAAGCGCAGAUUCUUCUUUCAGUUUCAAUUUGGAUUUAGCCAGAGACCUCCGUGGAGCGGCGGGGUUAUCUGGAGUUAGGAUGCCUCUCCCUCGCCGUCAGAAGACACCCAAGAGCACGAAGCCUCGUUUUCAUAGGAGGGCCUCAUCCCUAGCUCUACAGAGGGGCUUCCCCAAAGCACCUGAGGACAAAGAAUCUCUACUCCCUUGAGGAAAGUUUUCAUUGAAAAGGUGGGAAAACGUCUCUCUUCCUCUGACUAAACUGACAGACCCUGGUAACUAGCAUUCUACUCUCUGUUUCUAAGAGUUCAACUAUUUCACAACCCACAUGCAAGAUGCACCACUGAGCAAAUUUUAUUGUGAGUUCUCUGUGCCACGAACUCCUACAAUCUGUCAUCUGAGAAAGUCCCAGAAUACUGAGACAGAAGCCAGGCUCUGCCCUGUAAGCCAGGUGAAACCAUCACUGCAAGAGACUAUAUUUAGGCCCACAGUGUGUCAGAAGGAUGACAUGUUCUAUACAACCUUUUCACCCUGUCUGCUUCUAUAUAUACAAGCGCCUCUGUAUAUGAAUUCCUGGAGGUUCUGUGACUUUUUAAUAUUCCCCAGAGCUACCUUUGAAAACUGUGAGGUCACUUGGAUAGAAGCAGGAUUCAAAUGCAGAGUGUGAACACUCAAGAAGAGAUGCAGACUACAGCAGUUGCUAGCAUCUUUGAGCAUUAACUAUUCUCACUCAGAAUAUGGAGUAUUUAGAUAUCAGCUCCUGGAGGAGCCAGGAGGUUUUAGCAACAGAGUUGCCAGUUUACAUUUUAAUAACCAUGGGACAAGUCACUCUCUUCUUCCUGCAGUCUAUAACUCUGACUGCUCAGUGGACUUCCUGGGAACAAAUACAGCUGGAGGAGAUCAAACCCCAGUGUUGCUGGUAUGCGGGGCACAAGCUGCCCAGUGCCACUCUUUCUCUGAGGAGCCAAUGAGGUGUUGGUGGUGUUGAGCUCUGAACUAGAGGUCAGGAUAUUUUGGUUGCUAAUUCUAGCUCUGCCACUUCCCUGCCAGGUGACUUCGUUGUAUCAGGUGACUGUAUGAGGCCUGCUGCUUCCCUGUGAACAGAAUAAGGGCUGUCCUUGGCGUUACUCUCAGCUCCGGAGUUCUAGAAGACUGAAUUAGCUUUGUCAUCCCAAAUUCUGGAAAUAAGCAGUGAAUGUUUAGAUGAUUAUAUACUUGGGAACUUUGUGUAGAGGUCCCAGACAUUUGGUAUUGGGUGGCAAAAUCUCAGAGCUGUGAAGUUUCACUCAAGUGCAAAGUCCCCAGAACUACUCACUUGUACAAUUUCUCUAAUGUGAAAUUCUUUGACAGAUAAUUUUAUCAUGUUGGAGGACAAUGACUUUUAUUAAACAAGUACUCUUUGAAAUCUA